rnacentral:rRNA from 1 species
AUUGAACGCUAGCGGGAUGCUUUACACAUGCAAGUCGAACGGCAGCGCGGACUUCGGUCUGGCUGCGAGGGGCGAACGGGUGAGUAAUUUAGCGGAACGUGCCCAGUAACGGUUGAUAACUACGCGACAGCGUAACUCAUACCCCAUACCCCCUACGGGGCUACGCGGGGGAUCGUGAGACCUUCCACCCUUGCAGCGUCCGAUAUCGGAUUAGCUAGUUGGCGAGGUAACGGCUCACCAAGGCGACGAUCCGUAGCUGGUUUGAGAGGACGAGCAGCCACACUGGGACUGAGACACGGCCCAGACUCCUACGGGAGGCAGCAGUGGGGAAUUUUGGACAAUGGGGGCAAGCCUGAUCCAGCCAUCCCGCGUGGGUGAAGAAGGCCUUCGGGUUGUAAAGCACUUUUGGCAGGAAAGAAACGCAGCGGGCUAAUACCCCGUGGAACUGACGGUACCUGAAGAAUAAGCACCGGCUAACUACGUG